UCCUGGUGACUGAGUGGCGGACGGGUGAGUAACACGUAUCCAACCUGCCGAUAACUCGGGGAUAGCCUUUCGAAAGAAAGAUUAAUACCCGAUGGUAUAAUCAGACCGCAUGGUUUGAUUAUUAAAGAAUUUCGGUUAUCGAUGGGGAUGCGUUCCAUUAGGCAGUUGGUGAGGUAACGGCUCACCAAACCUUCGAUGGAUAGGGGUUCCGAGAGGAAGGUCCCCCACAUUGGAACUGAGACACGGUCCAA
rnacentral:rRNA from 1 species